UCCCUGGUAGUCCAGUGGCUAAGACUCUGCACUCCCAAUGCAGGGGGCGCAGGUUCAAUCCCUGGUCAGGGAA